GAGCGCGCAUUCUAGAGUUUCUUACUUUCUUAUAGUAAGUGGUUAGAAAGGACAAAAGGGGAUGAUGCUGAGGAGAAAGAUGGACGUUAAUCCAUCCAUCAAAUCUGACUAACAGACAAGGGAAAAAAAAAUGAUGGCACUCGAUCUCUCCAAAUUCAGUUGGAUCGUAAAUUUAUUUGCAAGGAAAGAUAAGAAGAAUCCAUCUUUAGUUCUCUAUCCAUUGUAGCAAACAAGGAAAGUAUCUCAUCACCCAUUCUCUUCAUAUUCCAUCUCUCCUAACAAGGCUCUAUUUGUUAAUAAAAAGAGAGAGAGAGAGAGAGAGAGAGAGAGAGAGAGAGAGAGAGAGGAGAGGAUGGAUAAGAUAACGUAGGAGUGUGGAAAUGUGGAAGGAUGGAUGUUGAUCUGUUAAUUUAAGUUUUUGUUUGAAUAGCAUUGAUUAAUUAUAUAUAGUAAAUUAUAAGUGUGGAAUGUUAGGAAGGAUAAUCUCUUUUCUUUCUCAGGUGCCAAACGAGGACCCUUUUUGUCCGUCAUCCCGAGCCAUCAUCCCCAACAAAGCGAAAUAUUUAAUUAUUUACAAUUAAGGGGGCAGCUCAAAAGAGAGAGGAUAUCAAGCGAAAAAUAUUCUAUUUGAGCCUCUCUUUCGCCAAAGACGAAGAAGAAGAAGAAGAAGCGCUGGCAGUAGCAUUUCAGACGAAUUGUUUACAGUGGCUAAGCAUCUCUUUAAAGGGUUUGGGUGGCCUAGAGCAAUAGAUUGUGAUCUUUGACAAUCUAACAUUCAAUGCUCAAAAAUUGACCUGGUGCCCAGGCGUGCUUGCUGAGAAAGCAAAGAAAAUAAUGACUGCGCCUACAAUUCUCAUGCCAUCCUUGAAUGCGAGGAGACUAGAGAGGUAUCCUUGGGUUUUUUUUUUUAUUUUAUUUUUAUUUUUUUAUGGUUAAAUAUAUAUAUAAAAUCGUUGAAGCUUCACAUUCGCGCCUGAGGAGAGGGCUUCCACCUCUUUGCCACUAUCAAUGGCUGGUUUAUGAAA